rnacentral:rRNA from 1 species
ACGAACGCUGGCGGCGUGCUUAACACCUGCAAGUCGCACGGAAAGGCCCUGCUUUUGUGGGGUGCUCGAGUGGCGAACGGGUGAGUAACACGUGAGUAACCUGCCCUUGACUUUGGGAUAACUUCAGGAAACUGGGGCUAAUACCGGAUAGGAGCUCCUGCUGCAUGGUGGGGGUUGGAAAGUUUCGGCGGUUGGGGAUGGACUCGCGGCUUAUCAGCUUGUUGGUGGGGUAGUGGCUUACCAAGGCUUUGACGGGUAGCCGGCCUGAGAGGGUGACCGGCCACAUUGGGACUGAGAUACGGCCCAGACUCCUACGGGAGGCAGCAGUGGGGAAUAUUGCACAAUGGGCGGAAGCCUGAUGCAGCAACGCCGCGUGCGGGAUGACGGCCUUCGGGUUGUAAACCGCUUUCGCCUGUGAUGAAGCGUGAGUGACGGUAAUGGGUAAAGAAGCACCGGCUAACUACGUG